AAAACGGCCCUUUUCAGGGCCACCACAUCAAAAUGUGCCUACACU
rfam:Macrostomum lignano uti_cns_0000518, whole genome shotgun sequence.